CUGCCCGACCCGAAAUAUAUUCAGUUUGCCACCAGAGCUCGUCUGGAGCACAACUCGUUUCGGAACGAAAAAUCUAAAAAUUUCCAAAUUAUUGUGUAAUUGCUAAGCUACAAAUUCUACAAGCAAACCAAAAAAGAAAAACUACACAGAAUGUCGUACAACAUUUGUAUUUCUAGAGUUUCAUGCUUUUGUUGACUCAAAUACUCGCCAUUGCUUUUUGUAAAGACAUGAAAGCAAUGGCAACGGAUUGCAAAGCAACCGCUUAACACAAAAAAGUAACAUCGUCCUGCUGAGGGGUUUGCUUAAAGUCUAACAUAUUAUAGUUAAUUCGACUUAUCACUACAUGCUUACAUAUAUAAUCGUGGGAUUGAGUUUCAUGCUUUUGUUAACUUAAAUACUCGCCAUUGCUUGUUGUAAAGCAGAAAUGGG